ACCCUACGGGGCGCAGCAGUGGGGGAUAUUGCACAAUGGGGGAAACCCUGAUGCAGCGACGCCGCGUGUGGGAAGACGGUCCUCUGGAUUGUAAACCACUGUCCCCAGGGACGAAGAUGACGGUACCUGGGGAGGAAGCUCCGGCUAACUACGUGCCAGCAGCCGCGGUAAUACGUAGGGGGCAAGCGUUAUCCGGAUUUACUGGGUGUAAAGGGAGCGCAGACGGCUGUGCAAGUCUGGAGUGAAAGGCGGGGGCCCAACCCCCGGACUGCUCUGGAAACUGUAAAGCUGGAGUGCAGGAGAGG
rnacentral:rRNA from 1 species